GUAGGAGAAAUAUCUGCAAACUAUGCAUCUCACAAAUGUCUAAUAUGCAGAAUCUACAAGGAGUUUAAACAACUCAACAAGCAAGAAGAAAAAACCCUAUUAAUCUCCUGACCUCGUGAUCCGCCCGCCUCGGCCUCCCAAAGUACUGGGAUUACAGGCGUGAGCCACCGCGCCCGGCCCAAAACGGCAAUUCUUAAAAAGUCAAAAAAACCACAGAUGUUGGUGAAGCCGAGGAGAAAAAGGAACACUUAGACUCUGUUGCUGGGAAAGCAAACUAGUCCAGCCACUACGGAAAGAAGUUUGGAGAUUUCUCAAAGAAGGUAAAAUAGAACUACCAUUCAACCCAGUAGUCCUGCUGCUGGGGAUAUAUCUAAAGGAAAAUAAUUUAUUCAAUCAAAUAGACCCAUAUGUUCAUUGCAGUGCUAUUCUCAUGAGCAAGGACGCAGAACCAAUCUAAGUGCCCAGCAGCAGGGGACUGAAUGAAGGAAGCGUGGUACGUAUGCACCAUGGAAAUCUAUGCAGCCACGAAAGACAACAAAAUCAUGUCAUUUUCAGCAACAUGGAUGGAGCUGGAGGCCAUUAUCCUAGGUGACUUAACAGAACAGACAACUGCAUUCUGCAGGUUCUCGUUUAUAAGAGGAGGGCUAAACAUUAAAUAUAUAUGAAUAUAAAGAUGGGAACCACAGACACUGGAGAUCACUAGACAGGGGAGGGAGGAGGGGCAUGUGGGCUGAAGAACCACCCACUGGGUACCGCUUUUACUGUCUGGGUGAUGGGAUAGUUGGGACCCCAAGCCGCAGCCUCCCACAAUUGACCCAUGUAACGAACCUGCACGUGUACUCUUUAAUCUAUAAAAAGAGUUGAAAUUAAAAAUGAAUAAAGAAAAUAAAAUGACAUGAGGCAAAAACAAAAAAUGGGUUUAACUGACAGGGGUGAGAGAGAACUCUGCAUUAUCAACUCUAACCCUGCUCUAAAAAAAUAAACUCUAGUCAUUUAAAAUAAGUGUAAGGUAUAUGACCAUAAUGUUAUAAAAAUUACAUAUGAUUAUACCAAAACCCUAACAUUAAACACUGUGUAAUGGAAUUAUGGAUAAUUGCCAUCUUGUUAUUAUACCUUUCUUUUUUGUCCCAUUUUCAAGUGACAUUUUUUGUUUAUCCUCAGGAACUCAUUGCUUACAGGGGUCCCCUUCUGUACCUACCACCUUUUCCACUGUCCACCUGAGCCCUUCCUCUGGCCUGGGACUAUGGCUUCCUUGGCACUGAAGGCACAAGAGCUACAUUCAGCCUCAGGAGAGGAUGAUGCAGGGUAGGUUGUGGAGGUGGUCUCAGCAUUGCAGAUGAGUCUAACAGCGCCCAGUCUCCAUUGCAGACGGCUGCAUUUCUCCACCAUGUUAGCUACAACCAAGCCAACCUUGCCCCUUUCUUGUUUGGUUUUUGUCUCACUCUUCCCAACUGCUUCUUGAAAAUUCAUAUUCUUCCACCUAACAUUUCUUUCUACUUCUUGACUUCACAAUGUACACUGAUUUGUUGUGCCCAGAAAACACUGGUCCCACCAUGUCGUAAGUUACCAUCUAAAGUGUAGUGAAUGAAUGGACAGGAAAGAGGCCCCUGCCCCAAUCACUGCCUCUCAUUUAUUCACUCACAGGGUAAGUACAGCCUCAGCACCAACAAUGGGCUGUGCUGCGGAUGCUUCCCUGAGGAAAACAGACA
rnacentral:lncRNA from 10 species